AGAAAACUUGGAUACAUCGUAUGUGUCAUUAUUUAACUCUGCAACACAUCAGCACCCUUAAAGAAACAGUGUUUUCAUUUUCUCUAAAUGAAUAUUAGCAACAAACGUUUUUAGAUAGAAAAUUCAUGUUUAUUACAAGUCGUAAUCAUCUUUUUAGCAUGUAAAUGCUUCCGCAUUGAAAGGAGAUCGCACCGUGUAUCUAAAGCAGCUGUCACUGUGGUUCCAAACACAGACAUAUUUUGUCCUAAUUGGCAGGCAUUCAGUUACUAGCAACAUGCUGGUCUUGAAUUUUGUUUUCUGAGAGAUUCAGUUUAGUCCAUUUGGCAUGCCGUUUGAGAUAACUAUUUUACCUUAAAUUGCAAAUUGGUCUUAAAUCCAAGGAGACAUGAAUGUGUUGGAGGCUACAAUGCACCUAGAUGCCGCAAUCAGGCGGUUAGGGGCCGAAAUUAAGGUGGAACUCCUAUCAUCAGUUGCAAGUAAAUUAGGUGUUGCUGUGCCAUCUGUAAUGCUAGUUGCUGCCAUGUGAACUAUCUUCCUCUUCAUUUGUUCUAUAUGAUAUAUAAUAUUAUAUGAUAAUGUUCUUAUCUAGAUAUGUUCACUUCGUUAUCUUGGAAUCUUUCGUAAUCUCGGAUUCUAUGAGGUAAGGCUCUUUGCCUCACUGGUCUACCAUUAUUAACAACAUCAUUUUGCACUACUGUAGGUGCUGGUACAGCGGUGUCGGAAACUUUCGGAUCAGUGAUUUCAAAAAACUGUUGCUGCUGUUUUUCUGUGAGUAAUCGAUUACUGCUAGUAGGGUAAUCGGUUACUGCUGCAUUUUCUACACCUUUGACUUUAUCAAAAGUCACAUCCCGGGUUAUGACGAUCUUCCGAUUUUUUCCAUCGAAUAACUUGUACCCUCCAGUAGAGUGAUAUCCUACAAAUAUCAUCUUCUCACCCUUAUCAUCCAAUUUCUUCCGAAAUUGGUCCGGUACAUGAUGAUAUGCAAUCGAUCCAAAAACGCGCAAAUGAUUCAAAUUCGGUUUGAAGCCACUCCAAGCCUCUUCCGGUGUGAGUUUCUCCAGCUUCUUAGUGGGACACCUAUUCAACAAGUAGGUGGCUGUAGACACGACCUCACCCCACAAUUUCUUAGGCAAAUUUUUCCCACAAAGCAUACUACGCAUCAUGUUCAUUAUUGUACGAUUUUUCCUCUCGACAACCCCGUUUUGUUGAGGCGUAUACGGAGGCACCACCUCACGUACAAUUCCCUCAAGAUCACAAAACUUCCCAAACUCACUAGAGGUAUACUCACCUCCACCAUCCGUUUUGAGAAUUUUGAGCUUCCGACCGCUUUGGCGCUCCACCAUGGAUUUGAAAUUCUUGAAAACUCCAAAUACCUCAUUUUUUCUCUUGAUAAGAUAUGUCCAAAGCUUCCUACUAAAAUCGUCAAUGAACGUAACAAAAUAUCGAUUGCCACCAUAAGUCUCUACUUGCAUUGGUCCGCAAACGUCGGAACAUACCACCUCAAGUAAGCCUUUGGUUCUUCGACUCGCAUCUUUGCUAAACACAUUCUUGUGUUGUUUAGCCUUCACACAUUCCUCACACAAUUCAGUUGGAAUACUAAUGUGUGGCAGCCCCGUUACCNCCCGAAACAUCCGUAAUGCCAUAACUCUCCUCCGUGAUCAUUACUAGAAGUGUGUCCUCAUCAUCUACCUCUUCCCUAGCAACCUUGGCUUCAUUAUUGUGAUUCUCAUUCGAUUUACCACGACACGAAUUUGCAAAGUGUCCAAACUUUCUACACUUGUAGCAUUGCACCUUACUUACAUCACGCUUCUUAAAACCAUUGCUAUGACCACUAUCCUUGGAGCUACUUUCACCCUUUUCACUCGUCGAAUGCUUUGAAUUUUGCGAAUCGUUUGAACCAAAAUUCUGAAAAUUUGAUUUACCUCUCGCCGCAAAUUUUCUUUUCGACCUCUUAUUCUUUUCAUUGAAACGCCAUUGCAAAGCAAUCUCCGCUUUGGCUUUGUCGGCGCCUCUCUCAUCCAUCCUUUGUUCAUGUGCCUCUAACGAACUUUGCAAUUCAUCCUUGCUCAAAGUUGUUAGAUCCUUUGAUUCUUCAAUAGCCACAACUAUGUUGUCGAAACGCGACGUUAACGAACGCAAUACUUUCGAUACAACAUUCUGCUCAAGAAUCGUUUCCCCACAAGAUUUGAUUUGAUUAACUAACCGGGUAAUGCGCGUAAUGUAGUCGUUGAUCGUUUCUUUGUCUUCCAUUUGUGUUAACUCGAAUUGUCGCUUGUAAGUUUGUAACCUUAUAACCUUCGCUUUGACGGCACCGGCAUAUGCUUUCUCCAAGAUUUCCCAUGCUUGCUUCGCCGAUUCACAAUCGCCGACCUUCUCGAAAUUGUCGUUAUCAACACACGAAUGAAUCAAGAAUAGGGCUUUGUAAUCCUUCUUCUUCUUUUCUUUGUGUGUAGCUCUUUGAAUGUCGCUAGCCUCUGCCCCUAAUUGUGUAACUCCAUUGACGACGAUCUGAAGCACCUCUCAAGACCUUCAUUUGUUUUGCCCAUUUAUCAUAGUUCUUCGAAUCAAGAAUCGGGAGAUUGGUGAAAAUUCGAUCAUUGGAAACGGUUGCCAUUGUUGCAGCGGAUUAGGAUCAAUAAUCAAGGUUCUUGAUGCCAAAUGUUAGAACAUAAAACUCAAAUUGAAGGUUUGACAAUGGUGGAAGAUAAGAAAUUUGGGGAAGAUGAAGUUGAGAGAGAAUUAGAGAGAAAAGAGUAAUAUUGGAUGAAUAGUAAUUUUGACCUUAAUUGAAAUUGAGAAUAUUACAAGAGUAUUUAUACAUUGAGGGAAUAAAAUGAUACAACUCAAAAAUACAACUAAAGUGACUCUACAAAUAAAUUAGGUUAGUUUUGGAAAGGUAAUAACAAAAUUUAAUUGAAACAUUCACCACAUGCUGAAAUUGAAGUUCCAAGUUAUAGUUUCGCCCAAACCGUGUAUCUUACGGAGCUGUCAUUGUGGUUCCAAACACAGACUUAUUUAAUUCUAAUUGGUAGACAUUCAAUUUUUAAACAACAAUAGGCUGGUCUUUAUCUUUGUCUCCUGAGAGAUUCAGUUUAGUCCAUUUGACACGCCAUGUCAAAAGUAAGAGCGCUCCAGUUUGACACACAAGGCCACAAAUCAG
rnacentral:lncRNA from 1 species